GACGAACGCUGGCGGCGUGCUUAACACAUGCAAGUCGAACGGAAAGGCCCGUCGGGGUACUCGAGUGGCGAACGGGUGAGUAACACGUGGGUGAUCUGCCCUGCACUUUGGGAUAAGCCUGGGAAACUGGGUCUAAUACCGAAUAGGACCACGCGCUUCAUGGUGUGUGGUGGAAAGCUUUUGCGGUGUGGGAUGGGCCCGCGGCCUAUCAGCUUGUUGGUGGGGUAAUGGCCUACCAAGGCGACGACGGGUAGCCGGCCUGAGAGGGUGACCGGCCACACUGGGACUGAGAUACGGCCCAGACUCCUACGGGAGGCAGCAGUGGGGAAUAUUGCACAAUGGGCGCAAGCCUGAUGCAGCGACGCCGCGUGAGGGAUGACGGCCUUCGGGUUGUAAACCUCUUUCAAUAGGGACGAAGCGCAAGUGACGGUACCUAUAGAAGAAGCACCGGCCAACUACGUG
rnacentral:rRNA from 1 species